UUACGACCAUAUCAAAUUGAAACACUGAUUCCUGUAUAAUCACCAAAGAUAAGCAACUUUGAGCCUGAUCAGUACCUAGAUGGGUAAUCACUUGGGAAUACCAGGCACUGUA